rnacentral:rRNA from 1 species
UUGAACGCUGGCGGCAUGCUUUACACAUGCAAGUCGAACGGCAGCACGGGUGCUUGCACCUGGUGGCGAGUGGCGGACGGGUGAGUAAUACAUCGGAACGUGUCCUGAAGUGGGGGAUAACGCAUCGAAAGAUGUGCUAAUACCGCAUAUUCUCUGAGGAGAAAAGUAGGGGAUCGAAAGACCUUAUGCUUUUGGAGCGGCCGAUGUCUGAUUAGCUAGUUGGUAGGGUAAUGGCUUACCAAGGCGACGAUCAGUAGUUGGUCUGAGAGGACGGCCAGCCACACUGGGACUGAGACACGGCCCAGACUCCUACGGGAGGCAGCAGUGGGGAAUUUUGGACAAUGGGCGCAAGCCUGAUCCAGCAAUGCCGCGUGAGUGAAGAAGGCCUUCGGGUUGUAAAGCUCUUUCAGUUGAAAAGAAAAGGUUGUGACUAAUAAUCAUAACUCAUGACGGUAUCAACAGAAGAAGCACCGGCUAACUACGUG